rnacentral:tRNA from 1 species
GCCUGGCUAGCUCAGUUGGUAGAGCAUGCAACUCUUAAUCUCAAAAUUGUGAGUUCAAGCCUCAUAUUGGGUG